rnacentral:pre_miRNA from 1 species
AAAAAGGCAAACCCUGGGUUUCCGUGUCCAACUUUGACUGUCCGUCUUAUAUGAAAUUUUUUUAUAAUUCAUAUUUUUAUUGUUGUUAGAUGAUAAAACAUGAUUAAUAUUUUAUGCGUGACUUGUUUUUUUAAUUUUUUUCAUAAUUUUUU